rnacentral:lncRNA from 1 species
CUUAUCUCAGGAUUUCUCUUAAAAAGAAUGAUUUAUACCUUAGUGGUGAGCAAGAUUCUGGAGUCCUCGGUGGAGCUGGCCUCUGACAGUGGUAACCUCUGACUUUCUUCUUUGCUCCUAGCUAUCUUCAGGCAUCUGAAUUAUGCUAGUCUCGCCAGAGACCCUUUUUGAUGAGAAUAUUCUUUUUUUCCUUUUUUUUUUGCUCUACUGUGUUACUGACUGCAGAUUCUUUAAUAGACUUCUGAGCCCUCUCUGGGAGUUUUGGUUUGUGAAUGGCUGUCUAUAUACUUUUAUUGGGAGAUGAAGGGUGGUAUCUCUUAAUCUGCUAUCUUGGUAGGCUUUUUAUUCUUUAGACCUUUUUUAUUGUUUCUCCUUAAAUGAAAUAUUGUUUUGUUGCAUGGUUUUGUCUGUAGAUCCCCUACUGCCUCAUAGAAAACCAGAGAGGAGGUAACAUGAGGAGAACAAAUGGACAUUUUCAUCUCAACGUGGCAGAGUAAAGUGAGAACAUGUUGUGAAACAACUUUCAUCUCAUGACCUUCACUAAAAUCCUGGGAAGUGGAGACGUACUCUUGCCCUUUCCCUGUACAUCUAUAAUUUCCCAACUGUACCCAACUGUGGCUGUCAGUGUAGGUAGAUUUAUAUGUUAGUUCUGUGAUGACCCUAUUAGCUAAUUCCCUUGAUUUAGGGAUGUUCUCCAUUUGGAAACAGCCAUUUUCCUAGGGGAAGAACUAGAGGUGUUUAUUUUUUUUCUCA